UAUGUUUUGUAAACAAUUUUUCGAGUUCAUAAUUUUUCAAUCUUGUUUGUAUUAUAUUUUGCCACACAAAAAUUUUAAAUUUGUAUAGUCAAAUUUAUCAGUCUUUUUCCUUAUGUUGGACCUUCUAAUCUCAAGGUACUAAAUAUAAUCUAGCAUUUUUUUAAACAUUAAAAAUUUUUAAUCCAUCUAUAAUUUAUUUUAGGAUAGGGAGUGAGGCAGGGGAAGGUAUCUUUUUAAAUAAAAAUCGUUGCUAAAUGGUUGGCUAGUUGUCCUAUUAAUAGUCAUUGAGACCAGGAGCGGUGGUUCACCCCUGUAAUCCCAGCACUGUGGGAGGCUGAGGUGGGAGGAUCACUUGAGGUCAGGAGUUCGAGACUAGCCUGGGCAACAUGGCGACACACAAUCUUUACAAAAAAUAAGAAUUAACAGAGGCCAGGCUCAGUGGCUCACGCCUGUAACCUUUGGGAGGCUAGUCUCGAGCUCGUGACCUCACGUGAUCCUCCCGUCUCCGCCUCCCAAAGUGCUGGAAUUACUGGCAUGAGCCACCGAGGCUGGCCUGAGUAUUCUAGUUUAUAACUUACAAGGUCAUUCAUAUGUAUAUG
rnacentral:lncRNA from 10 species